GUGGGGAAUAUUGGACAAUGGGCGAAAGCCUGAUCCAGCCAUGCCGCGUGUGUGAAGAAGGUCUUCGGAUUGUAAAGCACUUUAAGUUGGGAGGAAGGGCAGUAAGUUAAUACCUUGCUGUUUUGACGUUACCGACAGAAUAAGCACCGGCUAACUUCGUGCCAGCAGCCGCGGUAAUACGAAGGGUGCAAGCGUUAAUCGGAAUUACUGGGCGUAAAGCGCGCGUAGGUGGUUUUGUAAGUUGGAGGUGAAAUCCCCGGGCUCAACCUGGGAACUGCCUCCAAAACUGCAUGACUAGAGUACGGUAGAGGGUAGUGGAAUUUCCUGGGUAGCGGUGAAAUGCGUAGAUAUAGGAAGGAACACCAGUGGCGAAGGCGACUACCUGGACUGAUACUGACACUGAGGUGCGAAAGCGUGGGGAGCAAACAGGAUUAGAAACCCUGGUAGUCC
rnacentral:rRNA from 1 species